CACGAACCGUACGAACGUUAUUCGGAAUCACUGGGCUUAAAGCGUGCGUAGGCGGCCUGGAGGGUGGGGUGUGAAAUCCCUCGGCUCAACCGAGGAAUUGCGCUCCAAACCGUCAGGCUGGAGGGAGAUAGAGGUGAGCGGAACUAAUGGUGGAGCGGUGAAAUGCGUUGAUAUCAUUAGGAACACCGGUGGCGAAAGCGGCUCACUGGGUCUCUUCUGACGCUGAGGCACGAAAGCUAGGGGAGCGAACGGG
rnacentral:misc_RNA from 1 species